rnacentral:rRNA from 1 species
AGCCUGAACCAGCCAAGUAGCGUGCAGGACGACGGCCCUAUGGGUUGUAAACUGCUUUUAUGCGGGGAUAAAGUCACCCACGUGUGGGUGUUUGCAGGUACCGCAUGAAUAAGGACCGGCUAAUUCCGUGCCAGCAGCCGCGGUAAUACGGAAGGUCCGGGCGUUAUCCGGAUUUAUUGGGUUUAAAGGGAGUGUAGGCGGCCUGUUAAGCGUGUUGUGAAAUGUAGAUGCUCAACAUCUGAACUGCAGCGCGAACUGGCUGGCUUGAGUACACGCAACGUGGGCGGAAUUCAUGGUGUAGCGGUGAAAUGCUUAGAUAUCAUGAGGAACUCCUAUUGCGAAGGCAGCUCACGGGAGUGUCACUGACGCUUAAGCUCGAAGGUGCGGGUAUCAAACAGGAUUAGAUACCCUGGUAGUCCGCACGGUAAACGAUGGAUGCCCGCUGUUGGCGCUUUGCGUCAGCGGCUAAGCGAAAGCAUUAAGCAUCCCACCUGGGGAGUACGCCGGCAACGGUGAAACUCAAAGGAAUUGACGGGGGCCCGCACAAGCGGAGGAACAUGUGGUUUAAUUCGAUGAUACGCGAGGAACCUUACCCGGGCUUGAAUUGCAGAGGAAAGAUCCAGAGAUGGUGAUGCCCUUCGGGGCCUCUGUGAAGGUGCUGCAUGGUUGUCGUCAGCUCGUGCCGUGAGGUGUCGGCUUAAGUGCCAUAACGAGCGCAACCCCUUUUUCCGGUUGCCAUCAGGUGAUGCUGGGCACUCCGGGGACACUGCCACCGUAAGGUGUGAGGAAGGUGGGGAUGACGUCAAAUCAGCACGGCCCUUACGUCCGGGGCUACACACGUGUUACAAUGGCCGGUACAGAGGGCAGGUGCAAUGCAAAUUGCAUCAAAUCUAUAAAUCCGGUCUCAGUUCGGACUGGGGUCUGCAACCCGACCCCACGAAGCUGGAUUCGCUAGUAAUCGCGCAUCAGCCAUGGCGCGGUGAAUACGUUCCCGGGCCUUGUACACACCGCCCGUCAAGCCAUGAAAGCCGGGGGUGCCUGAAGUUCGUAACCGCAAGGAGCGACCUAGGGCAAAACUGGUGAUUGGGGCUAAGUCGUAACAAGGUAGCCGUACCGGAAGGUGCGGCUGGAACACCU